GUUGGAACGCAGCCCAGACCGACCUUGUCGAGAAUGUCGUCGUUUUGCAGCAGCGGAGCUCCGAUCGCUCCUCCGUCAUCCGGCCGCCUCCUGGUGCGAGGCUGGUGUCCAGAGCUUCAUCUCGUCGUCCCCGACCUCACUAUGUUCUUCGUUUUCGAAGAGGAGCUCUGGCGAGAGAGAAAAGAAGGAGAGAAGAAAGGCUGGGUUCGCCGGCCAACUUCCGAUUUUCAGCAGCGUCGACGCCUCUCACCGGUAGCCGAAGCUUCGUCUCGUUGUCAGAAACCCUUCCAUGAUGUUCGUAUGUUCAGAGGAGCCUCCAUGAAUGAGAAUCGAUUAAUUGAAGUUCAAGGAGUUUUCUGGCGAGGGUUCGAAGCUUUCCGGCCACCGUCGAUGGCAAGUGAGGUAUCAAUCUUCAUCUACUCGUCGAGCUUUACGUUUAUGUAUAAUUGGAAUUGAGAUUGGUUGGGUUUUGAAGAAGUUGGAAUUUUGGCAGAAAGGACUGCCGUGAGUGCCGCUGUGCACGGCGGCGGUGGUGGUGAUUGUUUGGUUGUUUUAUGGUUCCAGUUGGUGUCCUGAAGGUGAACUGAUAUUUUAUUUAUACUUGUUUCCCGUUUCUGUUGAUGUUAGCAAGAAUUUGAACGUUGGGAGUUUACUGUAUUUUGAGGUAUUGUGCAUGGUGAUGUUUUAGUUAAUUGUGAGCAUAUGGAGAAUUGAAGAAUUGGGAUCAUUUCAGUGUAUGCUGAUCAUAAUAGACGUGUGUUUAGAAUUGGAAGAGUUGGGUAUAUGGAAGGCUAAGUUUGGCUUGCUGGGCUGCUCGGGAAGUUUGAGAGCAGUAAGGAAAUAGAGAAGGGUUGUGUAAUUGGUAGGUUAAACUCGUGAGUUGGGUUUCUGGGAAGUUUGAAGGUUAAGAUUAAUCGUUAAGUUUUGGUGUUUGGUGUGUUGGCAAGACGAGGUAUCAUGGGUGGAUUUGCUAAUUAUAUGAAGUGGUAGUUAAGAGUAAUAAUCGGGGUAUAAAGAAGAUGGAAUUGCAUAUGGACGUAAGUGUGGACUAGUGUUUAUGGGUGUUGACAAAAGAUUUAAUAGAAAGGAGGAAUGGGGUGUCAAGAGUAACAUUGGGUGUCCUUAAGUAGUUUUCAAAGAUUUGAUGGAAAUGAUUUGAAGAGGUUCGUAGACUUUCUCGGAACAAGGAAUUGAACACACGCUUACAAGAUUCCAGAAGCAGAAGAAAAAGAAUUCAAAACGCGUGUCGCUGUGUUACUAAUUUUAGCUAGCGUCAGAACUCAGAAGUAACGUUGGAUUCCAGGUGCUUGGAAACCAUCGACACUGGGUCCGGGGUGUGACAAAUAGAAGGCAGGAAACGUCAGCAAAGUAAUCGGAUAUGAAUUGGCGUGGUCGAUCGGGUCGAUCGAUUCAAGUUUUGUGCCGAUAUUUUCGACGACAGGGUUUCUUACAUUCAUGUCUGCUAGGGCUUUGAUGACGGGUAAGGACAAUCUUGAAGCGGCGUCAAUGGUACCGGGACUAUGGCUGGAAAAGGGGUACUUAAGGGUAGGGUGCAAAGAUUAGUAGUACGACCAAGACUGAUCAGCGCUAAGACACCGCAAAAGUGCAAAUGGAUCAGCAUUAAGCUGCUAGAACUAGUCUGGAGGUCCAAGUUAGUUGGCUGAUCCAAAACUAUUUAGACUCUGUCUCCUAAUGAAUCUUGGGGGUCCAAAACAAUUGGAACCUUAUGGACGUGGGCUUGUGGGCAAAAUCUGAUGAGCACUAGCCUUUUUGGGUUUCGUAUUUGGGAUCCAGGUGACAUUA